rnacentral:lncRNA from 1 species
AAUAUUAAAAAAAGAUAAAAAACAUCCCUAUGUUUUUCAUGAAAAAUCAUGGAAAAUUUAAAAAAAAAAAGGAUUCUAAAAAGGACUCCAUGUGGCAAGGAGGCAAGUGUGCGGGUCAGCCCAGGGAAGGCAUGCAUAUCGCGUGCGCGGAUUGCCCCUUUUGGGUCGUGCAGGUCAUGUGCAGGUCGGCCUGUUCGCACACACGUGAGUCGCAUGUGAGGCCCUGCUAGGCACGCGGGUGGGCUACAAGCACAGGCUGGGCUUGCAUGCGCACUAAGUGCUGGGCAUGCGUUGAGUUUAUGGGGCCUAAGCAUGUGCAUACUGGCCUACUACAUGCAUGCGGGGCAUGGGCU